rnacentral:lncRNA from 1 species
GACUUCCUGAGCAUAGGCAGCCACCAGCCACAUGGCUGAUUUCCAUCGGCGGCUAUCCCAGGAGCCCCGGGCAGGAGCCCCGGGCAGGAGCACCGCAUGCUGGCCUCCCUCCCUCACAGGCUCGGUGUGCCCCAGCAGACCUAGCUGCCAGGUAAGCUGUCUACUUUCCGGCUCAUGUGAAGGAUAAGUUCAUCCUAUUGUUAUUGUCCUCUUUAGACUCCUUUGUAGUUUCAAAUUUUCUACCUGGAUCUUGAGCUCAGAAAAAGAAAUAGAACUUUAAAAAAGUAAUCUGAGUCAUUAAAACAAAGCAUGAGCCUUCUUCCUUGAAGUGUCUUUGUCCUCUAGACAAGUCACAAACAGCAGCUAGAAGGAGGGUAGGCUCCAAGACAAAUGAUCGAGAUUGCUGCUCACUCUCAGCAGAAAAGCACAUUGAGAUAAUAAACCAUUUUGGCAUAAUCAGUUUUAUACAGUCUCCAUUUUAUGCCUUCUGCUAGCGUACAGACAUUUAGGGAGCAUGAAGUGGCAGGACAUUACAAAAGACCACUUCACUGAAAUACUCGUUUUUGUUAGCAGUGACAACAUGCGUUACCUUCAUGUCCACUGACGGGUCCCCCUGCAGCAGUGCCCACUCAUACUGGACGAUGGCGUGGUCAUCUGUGCUCUCGCGGCCGUCUAGAACCACCCCGUCUGUGGGCAGAUGCAGAACCACAUCCUGCCCAGCCUUGCUAAGUGGAGGCGCAUCCUUUUCUGAGAAAGAAAAUAAAUAAUUCAUAAAAGAUGAUUUCUUAUUUUUUCUAAUUUAUGGAGAGGUAUCUUGUUUGCUGAAUAGAUAUGAUUCGGCAAAUAACUGCUAAGAGAAUCCAUAUUAAAUGGAAAUUAUUUUUCUAUUUAUUUUAUGAUCGUGGAAUUUAGCUAUAAUAUGCGCAGAAGAGGCUGUGUGGAGUGUUGGCUGGUAGCGAUUUUGGGUACAAGGCAGCAUACGAGGUCCCACCAAUGUGUAAAUAUGGAGAAGCAGUUUUAUUUUCUAGAGUGGAUUUUUCACUUAAUUUUAAAAUCACUUAAGUUCAAAAUACUGUUAAAUAAAUUUAUUUUAAAAGAUUAUUAUUAUUUUGAGAUGGAGUUUUGCUCUUGUCACCCAGGCUGGAGUGCAAUGGUGCAGCCUCGGCUCACUGCAGCCUCUCCCUCCCGGGUUCAAGCGGUUCUUCUG